AUAACCGAGAGGGCGGAGAAAAAUCCGCUCUCCUACGCGGUCAAAGUCUUGGGAGGAUGCGAUCUAGGCGCGAUAACUCGCAGCCGCCGGCAACGGAAAGCAGAUCGGACGCGUUUAAAUUGCAAGGCUUCGCGCCUUGCAUUUUUUU
rfam:Aminobacter sp. Root100 contig_1, whole genome shotgun sequence.